GAUGAACGCUGGCGGCGUGCCUAAUACAUGCAAGUCGAGCGAACAGACGAGGAGCUUGCUCCUCUGACGUUAGCGGCGGACGGGUGAGUAACACGUGGAUAACCUACCUAUAAGACUGGGAUAACUUCGGGAAACCGGAGCUAAUACCGGAUAAUAUAUUGAACCGCAUGGUUCAAUAGUGAAAGACGGUUUUGCUGUCACUUAUAGAUGGAUCCGCGCCGCAUUAGCUAGUUGGUAAGGUAACGGCUUACCAAGGCAACGAUGCGUAGCCGACCUGAGAGGGGGGUAGGCCAACUGGGAAGGUGAACAGGGACCAUGCGCCUACGGGAGGCGGCAGUAGGAAACCUGCCGCAGUGGGCGAAAGUUUGACGGAGCAAGCCGGCGGGUGAUGGAGAGGUCUUGGGUUCGUAAAACUCUGUUUUGGGGGGAAAACAAAUGUGGAAGGAAACGUGCACGGUGUGACGGUACUUAGACAGAAGGCCAGGGUAAAUUCGUG
rnacentral:rRNA from 1 species